UACAGAGGGGGCAAGCGUUAUUCGGAAUUAUUGGGCGUAAAGAGCGAGCAGGCGGUUCGGCAAGUCAGAUGUAAAAUAUCCCGGCUUAACCGGGAGGGGCCAUUUGAAACUGUCGGACUAGAGUGGAGCAGAGGAUAGUGGAAUUCCCGGUGUAGUGGUGAAAUGCGUAGAUAUCGGGAGGAACACCAGUGGCGAAGGCGACUAUCUGGGCUUUAACUGACGCUGAGGCGCGAAGGCCGGGGGAGCAAACAGG
rnacentral:rRNA from 1 species